CCCCUAGAACCUCUCAGGGAUUCAGGAGCUCAGAAACCAAAAGCAGUGGCUUGUUCCAUUCCCUGCUUUCCUGUUACCCAAUAUUCAGGACAUUGGGUGAUUUCCAAAGCUUGAGGCUAAGUAGAUAAUCCUGUGUGUCCCAAGAUAAGGAGUUCUCAGGGUGUGCUGUGACGAUGGGGACAAGGUAUCAAUGGGAACAUCCCAUGGUAUUUCCAUGAUUGCAACAGACUGUAGUUAUUUGGGGUUUAUCCAGUUUUGCUGCGACCACCUACUGACAAUGUAUCUGUCAGGAAGAAGAAAAAGCACGAAAUUCAAAUGUGCAAGAAGACGUGCAAAACAAACCCUGUGACAUUUUCUAACAUGUGAAUGUUCCCAAAUGCCAGACUAAAACAUCUCUCCAAUCGUUUCUUUUACAGACUUCCCUUGUUCCAGAAACUUGGCCUUACUUAGGAGGAAACCCCAUAACUGUCCCUUAGAAGUUGAAUUGCAUCAGUGUGGGAUCACAUGGUGUCACAAAACUUCACUUAUUCUUAUGGCAUUGGCAGUGUGGGUUUGGAAGAAAAAUCCCCGUGCUGUCUGGAAUGCUCAACUGUUGGGUACCAGAGUCGGAAAACAUCCUGCCUGCCGUGAACGUUAGGAAAACAGAGCAGCCCUGACUCGAGUGCCAAGUGGUUUUUUGGAAGGCUGACUCCCCUGAGAAUAAAGGAUAUUGGUGUCCAGCCAAGAGGGCAGGCAGGAACAGGCCGUGGGCAAGACACUGGAAUUUUGGAGCCUGAAAUACUGUAUGUUUGUUUGUAUCAGUUUCUGACUUUGGUAUUAA